rnacentral:tRNA from 1 species
GGGGUGGUAGCUCAGUCGGUUAGAGCUACGGACUCAUAAUCCGUCGGUCGUGGGUUCGAGCCCCACCCACCCCA